GUGUGCCUAGGGGCGCAGCAGUGGGGGAUAUUGCACAAUGGGGGGAACCCUGAUGCAGCGACGCCGCGUGGGGGAAGAAGCGCCUCGGCGCGUAAAGCCCUGUCAGCAGGGAAGAAAAUGACGGUACCUGAAGAAGAGGCCCCGGCUAACUACGUGCCUGCAGCCGCGGUAAUACGUAGGGGGGAAGCGUUAUCCGGAUUUACUGGGUGUAAAGGGGGCGCAGACGGCGAUGCAAGCCAGGAGUGAAAGCCCGGGGCCCAACCCCGGGGCUGCUCUUGGAACGGCGGGGCAGGAGGGCAGGAGGG
rnacentral:rRNA from 1 species